rnacentral:lncRNA from 1 species
GGCAUAGACGGCGAGCCCAGGGAGGCCACUGACAUGCAUUCAAGAGAAAAGAAAAGAAGCCAGGCUUUGGCAUAAGUGCUUCAUGGUGGAGUGAGAAUGGCUUGCCCUGGAAGGGUCAUGUUUUAGAAGGAGUGAUCUUCAUUGUGAAGUCUAAACUGUUCUGGAAAUAUAAGCUUUGAAACCCAGAAGACACUAAAGUAAAAGAACCAUCAACACAAGUGACAUGUCAUAGCAGGAGCUGACACAGCCUCACCAGCCCAUGCUCGGCCAGACUAGUUAAAGCAUGUGGAUGAUCCGAACAACACAAGAAUAAGCUAGAAUGUGAAGCAGAGUCAAUCUUAUCAGUUAAUAAAGUCAAGUUGUUGAUUCAGAGAAGAUUGGCCCUGAGAGGAUUUCAGGAGCAGCAGUGUCAUCAGAGCCGAGGCUUCAUUUGUGGUUGUUACCACAAACUCUUGGCUGAACCCAGAGGUGGACAAGAUUUGGGAAGACUUUGAGGCCAGAGCACAGUGACAUUGGAGGGAGCCGCAACCCUCCCUGGGUUGAAGGAACUAAGGAGAAUGUGGCAGAAUUGGCCGGAAGCAGAAUUGCCUGUUUCCAGUGAGGCCCCCUUGCCCUCUUGGAAGCAAUUGCUGUGUAGGAAGUCUGAACACCUCACAGGAGAUGGAGGCCAGUUCCUGCCUGCUGUAGCCACCCAGCUGAAGGGGGUCCAGACACGAGUGGAGGCAUUGUGACCUCCAGCCUCAGCAGACACCUCCACACUGCGCAGGGCAGAGCAACCACGCCACCGAGUGAGCCCCAUUUGCAGACUUUGAGCAAAUAAUGAUUGUGCACGUUGGAUCAUUUAUUGAGUUUCUCUCGUACACCAAGCACUGGUUGGAUCCCAUGCUUGUUGGUGACAGAACUGCUGUGAUGCCAGUCCUGCGUCCCCUUCAGCCUGUGAAGGAGGAGCACCAUGAACCAGCCAACUAACACGUGUCUAAUCACAUAAAGGGAACUGAACACCAGAGAGCCACAGUCACUUUCCGAAGGUCACACAGCAAGUGCAAAUGAGGCCUCAUCCUCAGGGCUGGGUUCCAGGCCUGCUGGGCAGGUCGGUUACUGCUGCACAAAAUUUCUGUUAUCCUAAAAUUGUUUCAGACAAGCACCAAAGGACGUCCCAUAGUUCUGCUUGACUAAGGUUUAAUGAAGUUAAUGUUC